UCCUAUAUAAUCCCCGCCACUCCAUUCAUCUUCAUUAGUUUCUACCGAGUAUUUCUUUCUGAUUGCCCGGGAAAAUCAAUCUUUGCACUAGAAUGGGCACUCGCAGGACAAACGCCACAUUCGAAUGGCCAGGCACUGAAACGCUUGUGUACGAAUUCUCUCACAACGCCCUGGGAACCACCGGUGGCAACAGAUUCAAUGAGGAGAUCGACGGAACUGGAGCCUUAGAAACUAUGCUCUCCUCCGCAAAUUCAUCUGGGACAUCUUCCACCAGGAAUCGCCAGCUGAUAGAAGGAAGAUACAGAGGGUUAAUUUGGUACUGGAAAGCAUGGACGGUACUGCGUAUUCCAGUGCAGAUAUAAUUCACCUCAGCGCAGAUUAUGUGGCCAAUUUCCAAGGAGACGUGGAGGCAGAAAUCAGAGGAGUUUUGUACCGCGAAAUGACACACUUCUGGCAAUGGGACGGCCAAGGCAAAGCCCCGCGCGGCCUUAUUGAUGGCAUUGCAGACUAUGUGCGCCUCACUGCUGGGUUAGUUCCUCCUUACUGGAAUAAGCCCGGUAGUGGAGACAGAUGGGACCAGGGUGAUGAAGUGACUGCCUAUUUCUUGCAGUAUUGUGAAAGUGUUAGCUCUGGUUUUGUUGCCAACAUCAACGCUAAAAUGGCUUCCGGAUGGGACUUGGGCUUCUUCAAUGAGGUCACUGGCAAAUCCGUUGAUGAGCUUUGGAGUGACUACAAGGCCAAGUAUGCUUCUUCAUGUUAAAGGGCGAUUUUCUCUGCCUUUAAGGUCAACCUAUUAUAGCUAAGGUCUUAGAGCUUCUAUUUGGCUGUGGACUCCUACCUAGUUGUAGGUUUUUCUUUUGUUACAUUGUACAGUCCAGAUUACUCUUCUAUGCUUUUUGUCCACUUUUCUGGUUUGUCAGAGAUGAAGAUGCAUAAGUUGCGUUGCCGGUAAGGCAGAUGUAGUUAUUUCUCGUUAGCUGGCCUAUUCUUGGAUGAUUACUGUUAUUUUGGCUAUUUUUGGGAGUACUAUUUGGGUUAAUCCGUUUCUAUUCAAGGAAGGAAAAGGUCAGGACCUAGAAGGUAGAGUAGGGAUACAUGGAACUUGCCACCCAAGUGCUGAAUUCCUCUAAUUUUGAUUGAAAUGAGAUUAUUCCUUGUAAUUUUAUAUCACUGAGGUCUAUAAACUGAUAGAUGAUACACAA